UAAAACUUUAUGAAUUCAAAAUUAUGUGAGCAUUAACCCAAAAAUAAAGGUUUUUAUGCACCAAAAUGAAAACCAUAUGCAUUAAUUUCAUUCUACUGAUUCAAAUAUACCCCCUUCCAAGUUAGCUUGUAUAAAUAUAGGUAACAAGCUACAGAAAUCAACCAUUAACAUCAGAUAAUCUAAGCAACAUGCUACAAAAAUCAACAUUGAGAUUUACAGGCAUUAAGCACGUAAGAAAUAAUAAUAGAAUCGCCUACAAUAGGGCAUUUGAUUAAUUCGAAGAAAUUAUUUUCCUACAAUUUCUCGGGAACCAAACAGAUCAGACAAAACCCACCAAAUUAAGAAACUAUGAAAAGAUAACCUUGGAAUGCGUCUUCUCUCUCCUUUGUCUGUAUUUAUACAAAGACUUACUUGGGCAACAGACAAUCGGACCAUUUGAAAUCCCAUUAACAAGGGAUUUGUUGGCAAAUUCAAAUCUCCCCCUUCCCAAAUUGAG
rnacentral:lncRNA from 1 species